rnacentral:lncRNA from 1 species
CCCCUCUCCAUGCUCUCCACCCUGUCCCUGUCUCUCCUUACCCUCCCUGGAUCUCCCUGGCACUCAUCCCUGCAGGCUGUGGAACCCACUUGGCAAUUUCCCCGGAGGUAACAGAGGGAAGAGAGGAGAGAAGAAGAAUAAAGAAAAGAAUAGAAAAGUCAUCAUUUGUUUUUCAUCAGUGCAAUGAAGCCCAGGUGACCUUGGAAUGCAGCUGCAGGGUCACCCACCCUGCCACGGCAGCUCCCCUCCUCCAGGACUGUCCCUGUGUACCCAGCAGAAGACAGGCCCCAGUGUAACUCUUCUAUCAGGCCAGAGCAGAAGACUGCCAGCCACACUGAGUGCACAGGGACAGGGCAGGAACCCACAGGGCCAGGGCAAGUCUCAGAUGGAGUCAGAAGUCUGCGUGUGCGGUUGUGUCUCCCAUCCCCUGGAGGGAGAGGAUCUGAAGAGGCGCCUUUGGGAGGUAAUUAGGUUUAGAUGAGAGUGGAGCCCGCAUGAUGGGAUUAGUGCCCUUAUAAGGAGGGAGAAACCAGAGCACUCUCUGCCAUACCACGUGAGGACGCAGCCAGAAGGCAGCCAUCUGCAAACCAGGAAGAGCUCUCACCAGAAACAGAAUCAGCCAAACCACGAUCUGGGAAUUCCCAUGUUGCAGAACCCUGAGGAUGAAUUCCAUGCUGUUUACCACCCGACCUGCAGUCUUUUGUUAUAGCAUCUGGAGCAGACUAAGACAGCCUUCCAUCCACGUUGGCCCCUCUGUGGGUUGGCAGGCUGCACCACAGCUGACCCUGCCCUGUGCUCUGCAGCCUUCCCUGCCAAGCCUUGGCCUGGGUCAUGAUGACAGAUGCUUCUUGUCUUUUGGUGAGCAUCUAAAGUGUGUGGGAAGGUACAGGUUACAAAGGGCUUUCUCUUGCUUCAUCUCAUGGAAUCCUUGCUGUAUGACUGUUGCUCUGCACAUCUUGCAGAGGCCAAAACUGGACAUUAAAUGAGUCCAUGCUGACCACACGAUCAGCACAGGACUGAGCCCACUGCCAGGUUUAAGACUCAGCCAGCCUGUCUGACCAACACUGCUUGGUCAGGACAGCCUAGUGGACUCUCAGUGCUUCCUGUCUCAGAAGCUCUGUUCCCUCCCUGCCUGAAAUGCCCUUGCCCAGUUCCUCUGCUUGCUUAAACCUCACCCAUCUUUCCCAGCUCGGCUCAUGCCCAAUCUUCACUCAAGAGUCUCCCACUAUAGGGCCAUGAGGAAAUAAUCCAUCUCAUAGUCCAUGUUGCACUUGUAAUCA